UGUGGGCAGUUUUUCUUAAAAUCCUAUUUCAUUGGAGCUGCUGAUGCUUUUCAGCCUCUUCCUCUCCUCUCCCCCAGAGAAAACUCUGUGACGUUUCCAUUCCCAGCUUUUUUCCAUUUCUCAUUGAAGUUCUGGACUUGUGUAAUCCAUCUGCCCCAAGCCCUAGAGGAGGGUUUGGGGGCCAGCCCUGUCGCAGAGAGCUGGAGAGGCCGUGCCGAGGAUUGGCGGCGCCGGCCCGGCGGCAGCGGCUGAGGCGGCCGCCCUCGCCCGGAGAGCAGGAAGAUGAGCGCAGCUCCGGCACAUCUCCUGACAACUCUCUUCAUGGCAGCAGCAGCCGUGCGCUACCCAUCGCGGCGCUCGGCCACCGACCUGGAUGCCACCCCCAGGACGACAGUAACCUUUGAUGAGCUGUCGGGAGUCCGGCGCUUCACCGCGCACACCCUCAACUACAGCACGCUGCUGCUGGAGGACGAGCGGGGCAUCCUCUACGUGGGCGCCAGGGGAGCCAUCUUCGCCCUCAACUCCAGCGACGUGGCCGACGGCUCCCACCACACGAUCCACUGGGAAGCCUCCCCGGAGAAGCAGAUGGACUGCCUGCAGAAGGGCAAAAACAACAAGACCGAGUGCUUCAACCACGUGCGGUUCCUGCAGCGGCUGAACAGCACCCACCUGUACGCCUGUGGGACCUACGCCUUCCACCCGCUCUGCGCCGCCAUCGAUGCCAACAGGUUCACGUUGCCGUCCCACUUUGAGGAAGGCAAGGAGAAAUGCCCGUAUGACCCAGCCCGUGGCUACACCGGCCUCAUUGUGGAUGGAGGCUUGUACACAGCAACACGCUACGAGUUUCGGAGCCUCCCUGACAUUCGGAGGAACCUGCACCAGCGGCCACUGAAAACAGAGGAGUCCCCGCUGCACUGGCUGAAUGAUGCUGAGUUUGUGACCUCUGUGCUGGUCCGGGAGAGCAAGGACAGCCCUGUGGGUGACGAUGAUAAAAUCUACUACUUCUUCAUGGAGCGGGCAGGAGAGGAGACCACGUCCUUCUUUGACAAGAGUCAGGUGGCCCGAGUGGCCCGGGUGGCCCGUGUCUGCAAGAGCGAUGUGGGGGGGAAGAAGAUUCUGCAGCGCAAGUGGACGUCCUUCAUGAAGGCACGCCUGGUCUGCUACAUCCCCUACUACGAGGUGCUGCGCAGUGUCUGCAGCCUGGAUGGGGGUGGCUGGGCCAGCACAGUCUUCUAUGCCACCUUCACACUCUCAGCACAGUGGAGGACCAUGGAGGCCUCGGCCGUGUGCCGCUACAACAUCUCGGCGGUGCAGCGUGCCUUCGAGGGCCCCUACAUGGAGUACCAGGACUGGGCUCGCAAAUGGUCCCGCUACGACGGUGCAGUGCCCGAGCCCCGGCCCGGCUCCUGCAUCACGGACCACUCCCGCAGGAAGGGCUACAACUCCUCGCAGGACCUGCCCAACAGUGUCCUGGACUUUGUCAAGCUGCACCCGCUCAUGUUUGAGGAGGUGAAGCCGGCUGGUGGGGAGCCGCUCCUGGUGAAGAAGAACGUGGCAUACAGCCAGCUGGCUGUAGACAGGGUGCAGGCCCUGGAUGGCCGCUCCUAUGACGUGCUCUUCAUGGGGACAGGGGAUGGCUGGAUCCACAAGGCCGUGGUGGUGAACUCUGGCAUCCACAUUGUGGAGGAGGUGCAGGUGUUCAGCGACCUGCAGCCUGUGGAGAGCCUGGUGAUCUCUCACAUCCAGAGGAGCCUGUACGUGGGGGCAGCCAGUGGGAUCGUGCAGGUGCCCCUGGCCUCCUGUGCCAGGUACACCUCCUGCUAUGACUGCAUCCUCGCCCGGGACCCCUACUGUGCCUGGGAUGGCAGGGCAUGCCGCACCAUUGCCACCACAGACAGGACAGGGCUGGUGCAGGAUGUUCAAAGCGGCAACAAGGGAUGCCGGAGCAUCUCUGGGCGAGUGCGUGUCCCCACAGGCUCCCUGCCCCAGAAGAACCGGACGGUGCUGCAGGGGGACGAUGUGCUGCUGCCCUGCGACCAGCGCUCCAACCUGGCCCGAGCCGUGUGGCUGCUGAACGGCAGCGAAGUGCCAGGCACGGGGCAGGACCGGCUGCGCGUGGGGGUGGAUGGGCUGCUGGUGAUGAACACGCUGCCCCAGCACAGCGGCGAGUACCACUGCUACGGGGAGGAGCAGGGGCUCCGGACACUCCUGGCUACGUACAGCCUCACCGUGCUGCCCGAGCUGCCCCGCAGCCCUACAGCUGCCCCAUCACCCCAUGCUGCCAGCCAGGCGACCAACGACAUGAAGGUGGCUUACAUUUCUGCCAUCGUCACCCUGGUGGUGCUCUGCACCGUGCUCAGCACCAUCCUCCUGUACAUGUCCUGCCUGGAGAAGCGCAAGGGCAAAUACGUGCUAGGGGAGCCACGGCCCCCCAGCGUGGAGCUGCAGACCGUCUCGGCCAACUGCCUGCGCAAGGGCCCCCGGGAGGAGGAGGAGGAGGAGCUCACCUACCCCGAUGGCUGCCUGCAGAUCAUCCCUGGUGAGGCACGCACAGCUGCCACCUCCCCAGUCAAGGAGCUGCCGGCUGCGGCGCCCCCGCUGCCGCCCCCGCUGCCAGCCGAGCUCACCAACGGCGUGGGGGCUCUGCCCAAUGUCCUCCGCAAGAUGAACGGCAACAGCUACAUGCUGCUGCAGCAGCAGGAGGAGCCACUGGCCUCCCCACUCUACAAUGCAUCCUUCACCGAGGAGCUCAGCAAAAUUCUGGAGAAGCGGAAACACACGCAACUGGUGGAAAAGCUGGACGAGAGCUCCGUGUAGGGGCUGGGGAGGGGGGUCCCAACAGAGGGACCCUCCUCCCCUCCGGCCCCUUCUCCCACCCUUUGCUAGCAGUGUUACAAGACUAAGAUUCAGACAAAACUACCUCCUUGAUGGCAGAGCUGGGCCGGGCCCAGGCUCAGUCAUUGCUCUUGUCUUGAGACUAGAAGUACACAGAAAACGAACAAAGUACCUAUUUAAAUUCUGAGCUCUAUUUAUGUAUAAAAACUCACUGAUGGUGGCCAUGAGCUGGAGACAGGAGCUGGCACCUGGCUGAAGGUGGACACCAUGGGGAGGGAGAGUUUUUGUCUGUUCAUCCAGGCGUGAGAGAGACGCUGUUGUAGAUGUGUGGAUUUGGCCAGCCCUGCUGGGCAUCCCCUGGCACACAGGAGCUGGAGAGCUGCUGAGAGGAUUUCCUCUCUGGGAGAGGAUGGUCUGGCGAAGGGACAAGAGAUAGGGCGAGGAGCUGAUGUCCUGAAUACCCUGGAGCAGCUGGUGAAGGGGCGUGUGCCCACUGCGAAGAGGCCACAGGGCACUGGAUGCAGCAGCAGGCAGCAAGAUGCACUGGCAGCAGAACUGGCAGCCACCACUAUGCCCUACAGUGUGACAAGGGACUGGUGAACCAUCCACAUGCCCCUGAUGUCUGCAGUGCCUCUCUGGCUUCAAGCACAACGUGUUUCUGCCCUCCUGUUCAGUGCCA